ensembl:lncRNA
UUUAUCAUAUGCAAAUUAGAUUUAUGUGGAAACAAGCAUCAAAGACAAGAAAAUUGUUUAAAAAUGUUCCCAGGAUUCAAAGUACAUGUCUUUAAUUUGUGUAAAUGCAAAUGUCCUGUUAGUUACACUAAAAACACCCCACAAAGAGACUAGUUAGCAGGUUAUAAGCAGGUUAGGUGAGUCCUUCAAGGGUGGCGGCACUUCCAGGUUUGUCUCGGGACGUCUGAACGAGGAGCAGCUAUCCGGAAUGGAUACAAGAGCAGAGGAGAGACUGCCCAAGGACUGCAUCUGAAUGCUUCAAACAAGAGUUCACUGACAGAAGGAGGCCAUUGAAUUAUUAUCUGAACAGGUACCACAAUCAUGGCACCAAUCAGCACCGAUCUCGUAGGCUGGGCGGUCACAGAGCAACCAGAGGCUGCAUUUCUUUCCAUAGUCAUCCUCUUCAUCGUCAGCAUCGCACUUCUCGUUCUCUGUGCAAGCUGUAAAAAACAUUCAUUUGAGUUAGAGAGCCACAGCGUACCCGAGCAGCAGAAAGCAUCCACACUUGUGAGCGUGGCAAAAAUGAAUGAUUCAAGAGGUGCCAGACAAAGCCCUGCUGCUAAUGACAUCACAGAAGAUGAAACUGGUUUAGAGGCGGCGGAGGGUGACGUUGCGUACAAACCCUGGAGAAGUCACACUCUCACUCACGGUAUGUCUCUCCAGAUGAUUGCAAGGAAUUCAAACCACAAGAGUCAUUUAAUCCCAGUGAAACUGCUACACUUCUCACCACACAGGAUGAUCUGA